ensembl:lncRNA LINC00592 long intergenic non-protein coding RNA 592
AGAGGCCCCAGGGACCUGUAGGCAGGUGGAGAGGGGAUGGGGGAGGUCUCAGGUCCUCUUGCUCACCCAUCAGCUGUGUAGUGUCUGAAGUGAUUAAGGAGCUUGGGGAGAGCCCUGAAUGGGAAGAAAUGGGUUCCAUGUGCAGCAAGCCAGGAGAGAUUUAGGCAACGAGAACCUCCAGUUCUGUCUUAGGGUUCCCAGCUUUCUCCUUGUCCUGAGGGAGCCGCUGAGCCUGUGGGAGAUGAGGGGUGCCCAUUCCCCAGUGCUUCUCACCCUCCCCCACCUGCCCUCCUGGGGUACCUUUGUCUGCCACUUGCAUCCUAUUGGAAGCUGUCCCCAAGUGCGUGUUAGGCAGGUGGCAGGUGCUGGAGCAGAGUGCACCACCCUCCGGCGAUCACUGUGAGUUGGGGUAAGAGUGGGGUGUUCCUGCCAGCCCCAGGAGAGGGGAAAGCAAGCCCCCGUCCACCCUUGUGGGUCUCUGCUCCUGGAAAAGGUGCUCUAGCAGGCUCAUCUGUGUGAGUCACUGUCUUCCAUGUGGGGGGCUGUGCUGAAGAAGCCUUGGUGAUAUGGGUGCAAAUGCCAAAAACAUGGGGUUUCAUUCUGUCACCAAGGCUGGAGUGCAGUGGCGUGAUCUUGGUUCACUGCAACCUCUCCCUCCCGGACUCAAGCCAUCCCCCUGCCUCUGUCUCCUGAGUAGCUGGAAUUAUAGAUGUACACCACCACACCUGACUAGUUUUUUAAUUUUUUGUGAAGACGGAGUUUUGCAGUGUUGCCUGGGCUGGUCUCAACUCCUGGGCUCAAGAAAUCCACCUGCCUCUGCCUCCCAAAGUGCUGGGAUUACAGAUAAUGCUGGAAGCCAAGCUUGCACAUUCUAGGCAGCCAUUUGGAAGAUUCUUCUCUGCGCAUGACCAGCUGAAAAGGAAAAACCCCGAAACAUUGGCACUGUGAUUUCUCCAUGUGAACAGUUUAGUUCGCCGAGGUGGACAUGCCUCAUUCAUGCUUAUGGAGUGACCGACCAGCCUUUAGUGACACCCCCUGAAAUGUGAGUCAUCCAUGGGUCACUAGUCAUUGGAGAAGAGCCCCUUAUACAAAACUUGGAGCUCAGACCACAAACAACAACAACAAUCCAAAAAAUAAAAAAAUGAAAAAUUAGGAGCAGAGACUAAAUGGAAAGAUGGAAAUAUUAAAAUAAAAAUAUUAUUUUAAAAAUUAA